UCCGUGACAUUAUCCCCCUUUCUAAGAAUGAAUUCUACAAGGAGUAGUCUUCAUAUGUUGAAAAAGUCGAAGAUGCAAUGAAUUAUAUUUGCCACAUAUUCCGAUCUUUGCUUUCUUUGAAGAUGGUUGAUAGGCCCUCUCAGCCAUUGAUAGUGUUUCAUACCAUAGCGAGAAGACCACCCUAUUAUUUGCUCAUUAUUAAGGCCUUCAUAACUUCUUUCAAAUAAAACAUUUAGA
rnacentral:lncRNA from 1 species